rnacentral:rRNA from 1 species
CGCUGGCGGCGUGCCUAAUACAUGCAAGUCGAGCGAACUUUUGGGAGCUUGCUCCCAAAAGUUAGCGGCGGACGGGUGAGUAACACGUGGGCAACCUGCCUAUAAGACUGGGAUAACUUCGGGAAACCGGAGCUAAUACCGGAUAAUUCUUAUCUACUCAUGUAGAUAAGCUGAAAGACGGUUUCGGCUGUCACUUAUAGAUGGGCCCGCGGCGCAUUAGCUAGUUGGUGAGGUAACGGCUCACCAAGGCAACGAUGCGUAGCCGACCUGAGAGGGUGAUCGGCCACACUGGGACUGAGACACGGCCCAGACUCCUACGGGAGGCAGCAGUAGGGAAUCUUCCGCAAUGGACGAAAGUCUGACGGAGCAACGCCGCGUGAGUGAUGAAGGUUUUCGGAUCGUAAAACUCUGUUGUUAGGGAAGAACAAGUACGAGAGUAACUGCUCGUACCUUGACGGUACCUAACCAGAAAGCCACGGCUAACUACGUG